rnacentral:rRNA from 1 species
UACGUAGGGUGCGAGCGUUUGUCCGGAUUUAUUGGGCGGUAAAGGGCUCGUAGGCGGCGUGUCGCGUCGGGAGUGAAAGACCGGGCUUAACCCCGGUUCUGCUUCCGGUACGGGCAUGCUGGAGUGUGGCAGGGGAGACUGGAAUUCCUGGUGUAGCGGUGGAAUGCGCAGAUAUCAGGAGGAACACCGGUGGCGAAGGCGGGUCUCUGGGCCAUUACUGACGCUGAGGAGCGAAAGCGUGGGGAGCGAACAGG